UACGUAGGGGGCUAGCGUUGUCCGGAAUCAUUGGGCGUAAAGAGCAUGUAGGCGGCCCGGUAAGUCCGCUGUGAAAGUCGGGGGCUCAACCCUCGAAUGCCGGUGGAUACUGUCGGGCUAGAGUGCGGAAGAGGCGAGUGGAAUUCCUGGUGUAGCGGUGAAAUGCGCAGAUAUCAGGAGGAACACCAAUUGCGAAGGCAGCUCGCUGGGACGUUACUGACGCUGAGACGCGAAAGCGUGGGGAGCAAACAGG
rnacentral:rRNA from 1 species